rnacentral:rRNA from 1 species
AGCGAACGUUAGCGGCGGGCCUAACACAUGCAAGUCGAGCGAGAAAGUGGCUUCGGCCAUCAGUAAAGCGGCGGACGGGUGAGUAACACGUGGGUAAUCUUCCUUCGAGCGGGGGACAACGGUCCGAAAGGACCGCUAAUACCGCAUACGUUUCUCGGGACCUCGGUCCUGGGAAGGAAAGCUAGGUAGCAAUAUCCGGCACUCGAUGAGGAGCCUGCGUCGCAUCAGCUAGUUGGUGGGGAAUGGCCCACCAAGGCGAAGACGCGUAGCUGGUCUGAGAGGAUGAUCAGCCACACUGGGACUGAGACACGGCCCAGACUCCUACGGGAGGCAGCAGUGGGGAAUAUUGGACAAUGGGCGCAAGCCUGAUCCAGCCACGCCGCGUGAGUGAUGAAGGCCU